UACAGAGGUGGCAAGCGUUGUUCGGAAUUACUGGGCGUAAAGGGCGCGUAGGCGGCCUUCUAAGUCAGACGUGAAAUCCCCCGGCUUAACCUGGGAACUGCGUCUGAUACUGGGAGGCUUGAGUAUGGGAGAGGGAUGUAGAAUUCCAGGUGUAGCGGUGAAAUGCGUAGAUAUGACAUAGAACACCUAUUGCGAAGGCAGCUUACUACGCAGAUAUUGACGCUCAUGCACGAAAGCGUGGGGAUCAAACAGG
rnacentral:rRNA from 1 species